ensembl:lncRNA
GUUGAUUGGAAAUUGUGUCUAAUGGGGUGGGAACUAAACCUGGCUGCUGAUUGACAGGUUCUUGCCAUGUAGUUCAAGCUGGACUUGAACUCACUGGGUAGCCCAGUCUAGCCUAGAAAUCACAGUGAUCCUCCUGCCUCAGCUUCCCAAGUAAUAAGAUUACAGUCUAUAAAAAUGCAGGCCACAGGGAACGGAAACAAAAAAAAUUAAUACUCAGAAAGUGCUUGGAGCGGUGGCUUGCACUUGACUCUAGAAGUUCCUGGUACUACCAUCAUGAAGAAGAAGGAGGAGGAGGAGGAGUUGGAGUCAGAAUCUACUACCUUAAAAAAGUGACAGGCCCAAGAGAUUUUGCAGGUCUGAAAAGGUGACGGAGGUAUGAGACUAAAGGUUUUCUGGGAAUCCACAAGGAGCCCAACCUUCUCCCGGGAGAGAGAUGAGUGAAACAAGAAGAGAAGGAGAACACAGAAGUCCUGAGAGGAGAAAGAAUACGAACCUAAAACAAAACAAACAACCACUGGCAUCUCAGGAAAGG